ensembl:lncRNA
CCUAUCCAUAACCCUGGUAACAGACCUAUCCAUAACCCUGGUAACAGACCUAUCCAUAACCCUGGUAACAGACCUAUCCAUAACCCUGGUAACAGUCAGGGUAAUGAGACAGCCGAACAGGGAAACGUCUACAUAGAUGAAUAUUCACCUGGGCUCCUAGCUAGCUGUGUUCAGGGGGUCACUGAGGAUUACAGUAGGCUAAGUGGAACACUUAUCAGGUUACUGUUGAUCAUUGGCAGUACAUUAACAUUGUGUACUCGGUCUUGUCAAUGGGACAAUAGAGAGGGUCAUUACACCUUGUUGUUGGAUUAAUACUGUAAGGGACGUAUUUCCAGUCAGACAGGUUAAAGCCUAAAGUCUCUGACUAAAAAGCUAUUUCAACUGAGAUCAUGUUUUUUUUGUUGUAAAGGACUAGGCUUUAUCUGUGUCUGGUGAAACUAUCCUAAUGUGUUUUUACAGCUGCUUGAACAAAUAGGUAUUACAUCCUUAUCAAAACUGUCACGCAUUCACAACUGAUCCAUGUCCAUCCUGAAACAGGCCUCCUGUGUGCCGUGAGCAGAUAUGAGGACAGCAGAAAGGUGUGAUUUGCAUUGGAAAUAGAGGAACAUGAUCAUGUUGGUUUUGAACAGGCCACUUUGGCUGUGUUUACAGAAGCAGUCCAAUUCUGAUAUUUUGCCCAAUUAUUGGCAAAAGAGCUGAUCAGGUUGAUCAGAAUACCAAUUAGUGGAAAAAUAUGACAAUUGGGCUGCCUGUGUAAACACAGCCUCUGACUGUCUGUCUGUGCCUACAGUAUGUACCUGGGUCCUGGGCUGCAGGGGGAGGCUCUGGAGAGCUGGCUGGCUGCUCGGGGGAAGUGGCUGCUGCAGGAGCAUCGGCUACAGGCUGGGUCUCACUCUGGGCCGCAGGGGCUGGGUCUUUGGUGUCUGCAGGAGCCUCGGCUUGGGCUGCAGCCGGAGCAGACUGGGCCUCCCCUCCUGUGGCUGCUACGGUCACUGUGUGAUCUGGGAUGGUCUCACUGUCCUCCGCAACCUUACCGUUCUCAUUAGCCGCCCCUGGCAGUGGAACACAGAACAUCAGCCACAUGCUGGGAGCUCAAGGAUUGGUCAAUCAAGCAAUCAUUUUAUCAAUAAAAUGUGAUUUAUAUAGCCCUCAACAAGAACACAAAGUUUUUUAAUUUUACCUUUAUUUAAUUAAGCAUGUCAGUUCAGGACAAAUUCUUAAUUUCAAUGACGGCCUAGGAACAGCGUGUUAACUGCUUUGUUCAGGGACAGAAAGACAGAUUUGUACUUUGUCCUAGCUACGGUUCCUAGUCCAACGCCUUAACCCCUAGGCUACCCUGCCACCACAAAGUACUUUACAGUCAUCUACAUCAAUUGAAAUAUUCAAUGUUUGAUGGACAAGCUCAACGGUUACAACAAUAGACAAUAACGGUCACACCCCUCUACCUUACUGUGAGAAGUAGGCAAUUAUAUAAUUAUAUAGCAACCAGCAGUGUUAGAACAGUGUCAUAGGGUCUGAAUGGUGUCUAUAACGUGAUGACUGGGACAUGGCUUCAGGUCAUGAUUAAGUAGCUGUGAAACUGGCAAACAAUGCUUCACCUCAUAGCAACACCAAACAAUCACAGCUCUUUCUCAGUCACCAGCCCAGCUAGUGUAACACAGUUGGUUAUGUUUCCACUUGACACUGUAGAAAUAUGUAUUUCAUGUUCAUGUAUUCCUAUUGGUUGGUUGAAUUAACAUAUCAAUGAGAUAUUAUGCCAUUGGUCAUUAUGCAGAUAGCGGGAGACCUCAAACUUAAAUUCUACCCAGUCUGAUAUUUAUUUAAUUAGGCCAGCAGCAUACCACCCUGCAUACCACCCAGCAUACCACCCUGCAUACCGCUG